rnacentral:snRNA from 1 species
GUGUAGUAUCUGUUCUUAUCAGUUUAAUAUCUGAUACGUCCUCUAUCCGAGGACAAUAUAUUAAAUGGAUUUUUGGAACUAGGAGUUGGAAUAGGAGCUUGCUCCGUCCACUCCACGCAUCGACCUGGUAUUGCAGUACUUCCAGGAACGGUGC